rnacentral:rRNA from 1 species
GACGAAGGUGGCAAGCGUUGCUCGGAAUCACUGGGCAUAAAGCGCGCGUAGGUGGCUUGAUAAGUCGAUGGUGAAAUCCCAUGGCUCAACCAUGGAACUGCCAGCGAUACUGUCAGGCUUGAGGACGGUAGGGGAGAGUGGAACUCCUGGUGUAGCGGUGAAAUGCGUAGAUAAUCGAGGAGGAACGCCGGUGGCAAAGCGACUCUCUGGGGCCGACUCCUGACACUAAAGCGCGAGAGCUAGGGGAGCAAAACGG